rnacentral:rRNA from 1 species
AGAGUUUGAUCAUGGCUCAGGAUGAACGCUAGCGGCAGGCCUAAUACAUGCAAGUCGAACGGUAACAUGAGUAGCAAUACUUGAUGACGAGUGGCGCACGGGUGCGUAACACGUAUGCAAUCUACCUUUAACUGGGGAAUAGCUCCGAGAAAUCGGAAUUAAUACCCCAUAACAUUAUGAAAUGGCAUCAUUUUAUAAUUAAAACUACGGUGGUUAAAGAUGAGCAUGCGCGACAUUAGCUAGUUGGUGAGGUAAUGGCUCACCAAGGCUACGAUGUCUAGGGGAUCUGAGAGGAUUAACCCCCACACUGGUACUGAGAUACGGACCAGACUCCUACGGGAGGCAGCAGUAAGGAAUAUUGGUCAAUGGACGAAAGUCUGAACCAGCCAUGCCGCGUGCAGGAUGACGGCCCUAUGGGUUGUAAACUGCUUUUGUACGGGAAAAAACCCCUCUACGUGUAGAGGGCUGAUGGUACCGUAAGAAUAAGGAUCGGCUAACUCCGUGCCAGCAGCCGCGGUAAUACGGAGGAUCCAAGCGUUAUCCGGAUUCAUUGGGUUUAAAGGGUGCGUAGGUGGAAUAGUAAGUCAGUGGUGAAAGCCUGUUGCUUAACAACAGAACUGCCAUUGAUACUGCUAAUCUUGAGUACAUUUGAAGUGGGCGGAAUGUGUCAUGUAGCGGUGAAAUGCUUAGAUAUGACACAGAACACCGAUUGCGAAGGCAGCUCACUAAACUGUAACUGACACUGAGGCACGAAAGCGUGGGGAUCAAACAGGAUUAGAUACCCUAGUAGUCC